GACGAACGCUGGCGGCGUGCUUAACACAUGCAAGUCGAGCGAUGAAGUUCCUUCGGGAAUGGAUUAGCGGCGGACGGGUGAGUAACACGUGGGUAACCUGCCUCAUAGAGGGGAAUGGCCUUUCGAAAGGAAGAUUAAUACCGCAUAAGAUUGUAGUACCGCAUGGUACAGCAAUUAAAGGAGUAAUCCGCUAUGAGAUGGACCCGCGUCGCAUUAGCUAGUUGGUGAGGUAACGGCUCACCAAGGCGACGAUGCGUAGCCGACCUGAGAGGGUGAUCGGCCACAUUGGGACUGAGACACGGCCCAGACUCCUACGGGAGGCAGCAGUGGGGAAUAUUGCACAAUGGGGGAAACCCUGAUGCAGCAACGCCGCGUGAGUGAUGACGGUCUUCGGAUUGUAAAGCUCUGUCUUUAGGGACGAUAAUGACGGUACCCAAGGAGGAAGCCACGGCUAACUACGUGCCAGCCGCCGCAGUAA
rnacentral:rRNA from 1 species